GGGAUAACUCCGGGAAACCGGGGCUAAUACCGGAUAACAUUUUGAACCGCAUGGUUCGAAAUUGAAAGGCGGCUUCGGCUGUCACUUAUGGAUGGACCCGCGUCGCAUUAGCUAGUUGGUGAGGUAACGGCUCACCAAGGCAACGAUGCGUAGCCGACCUGAGAGGGUGAUCGGCCACACUGGGACUGAGACACGGCCCAGACUCCUACGGGAGGCAGCAGUAGGGAAUCUUCCGCAAUGGACGAAAGUCUGACGGAGCAACGCCGCGUGAGUGAUGAAGGCUUUCGGGUCGUAAAACUCUGUUGUUAGGGAAGAACAAGUGCUAGUUGAAUAAGCUGGCACCUUGACGGUACCUAACCAGAAAGCCACGGCUAACUACGUGCCAGCAGCCGCGGUAAUACGUAGGUGGCAAGCGUUAUCCGGAAUUAUUGGGCGUAAAGCGCGCGCAGGUGGUUUCUUAAGUCUGAUGUGAAAGCCCACGGCUCAACCGUGGAGGGUCAUUGGAAACUGGGAGACUUGAGUGCAGAAGAGGAAAGUGGAAUUCCAUGUGUA
rnacentral:rRNA from 1 species